GUCGCCGCUCCCAAUACAGAGUCCUGCUGCUGGGGAAAGGAGACUGGGCUCUCUAUUCCCUGUAGGAAGCUUUGCCGCUGGGGACAGAACCAACUGUCCCUGCCCCCUUUAACUCACUCUGCCGCUGUUGAAAAGAGACUGGGCUCUCAAUUUCCUGCAUAUUAAACUGCUGCUGGGAAAUGGAGACUGGGCUCCCAAUUCCCAAUAAAUUACACUGCCGCUGGGGAAUGGAGACUGGGC